GAUGCCAUUUUGUGUCUCAGCCUGAGUGUAAUGCCUGACAGCUGAUUCCUGUAGGCCACCCCUGUACCAGGACCCAGCGGUCCUUGAGCCUGGCCAGGAAACCCUGCUGCACAAAGAAAAGUGAGCCUGAAGACUCUGCCUUGCCAGAAAGGACUGAACACCAGCUGUGCCUGGCCUUCGUCAUCCUGAACAUAAGAGUUGUUCUGACCAAAUCGGGCCAGAAAGAGAAAUACAGGUGAUAUCACCACCCCUGUCAGCCAUAGCUGAAUCCGAAACUGCAGCUGAAAUGAAAGGGAUUGGACUUUAACAGCAGCUUCAGCUCAUCUCAAUUAACCUCUUCUCCCCAAAAGAACAGUUAUUACUGUUUUGAUACCAUCUACAAAACUGUCAAAUGAGGUUACCUUUCUAAAAGCUCUCUCCAGCUAAAGAGAAAGGGACCAAGGUGCAAGUAGUAGAGAAGUACAAGGAAGCUGCUCAUCUGGAAGAAAGCAGCUAAAUCAAGGUUCAGUAGAGGAGGAGACUACAUCUAUUCCCCAACUACAGCUGCUGCUGCCACCACCAAAGACCUGCCUACUUCAGAGAACAAGAAUGUGCCCCCAGAAGUCUGAUCUGCUCCACAGGAGGAGAGAAUACUACCUGAUUGGCAAC